rnacentral:rRNA from 1 species
CAGUAGCCACGGGAAUACGUAGGUGGCAAGCGUUGUCCGGAAUUAUUGGGCGUAAAGGGCUCGCAGGCGGUUUCUUAAGUCUGAUGUGAAAGCCCCCGGCUCAACCGGGGAGGGUCAUUGGAAACUGGGAAACUUGAGUGCAGAAGAGGAGAGUGGAAUUCCACGUGUAGCGGUGAAAUGCGUAGAGAUGUGGAGGAACACCAGUGGCGAAGGCGACUCUCUGGUCUGUAACUGACGCUGAGGAGCGAAAGCGUGGGGAGCGAACAGGAUUAGAUACCCCCGUAGUCCCUGUCUCUUAUCC